AUGAACGCUGGCGGCGUGCCUAAUACAUGCAAGUCGAGCGAACGGACGAGAAGCUUGCUUCUCUGAUGUUAGCGGCGGACGGGUGAGUAACACGUGGAUAACCUACCUAUAAGACUGGGAUAACUUCGGGAAACCGGAGCUAAUACCGGAUAAUAUUUUGAACCGCAUGGUUCAAAAGUGAAAGACGGUCUUGCUGUCACUUAUAGAUGGAUCCGCGCUGCAUUAGCUAGUUGGUAAGGUAACGGCUUACCAAGGCAACGAUGCAUAGCCGACCUGAGAGGGUGAUCCGCCACACUGGAACUGAGACACGGUCCAGACUCCUACGGGAGGCAGCAGUAGGGAAUCUUCCGCAAUGGGCGAAAGCCUGACGGAGCAACGCCGCGUGAGUGAUGAAGGUCUUCGGAUCGUAAAACUCUGUUAUUAGGGAAGAACAUAUGUGUAAGUAACUGUGCACAUCUUGACGGUACCUAAUCAGAAAGCCACGGCUAACUACGUG
rnacentral:rRNA from 1 species